UACGUAGGGAGCAAGCGUUGUCCGGAAUCAUUGGGCGUAAAGCGCGCGUAGGCGGCCCUGUAAGUCCGUUGUGAAAGUCAAAGGCUCAACCUUUGAAAGCCGAUGGAUACUGCAGGGCUAGAGUCCGGAAGAGGCGAGUGGAAUUCCUGGUGUAGCGGUGGAAUGCGCAGAUAUCAGGAGGAACACCGAUGGCGAAGGCAGGUCUCUGGGCCAUAACUGACGCUGAGAAGCGAAAGCAUGGGGAGCGAACAGG
rnacentral:rRNA from 1 species